CUACGGGUUGCUCCAGUGAGGAAUAUUGCACAAUGGGGGGAACCCUGAUGCAGCAACGCCGCGUGGAGGAUGACGCAUUUCGGUGUGUAAACUCCUUUUAUAUGUCAAGAAAAUGACGGUAGCAUAUGAAUAAGCACCGGCUAACUCCGUGCCAGCAGCCGCGGUAAUACGGAGGGUGCAAGCGUUACUCGGAAUCACUGGGCGUAAAGGACGCGUAGGCGGGUUGGAAAGUCAGGUGUGAAAUCCUACAGCUUAACUGUGGAACUGCACUUGAAACUUCUAAUCUAGAGUAUGGGAGGGGGAGAUGGAGUUAGUGGUGUAGGGGUAAAAUCCGUAGAUAUCACUAGGAAUACCUAAAGGGAAGGCGAUCUCCUGGAACAUUACUGACGCUAAGGCGUGAAAGCGUGGGGAGCAAACAGGAUUAGAUACCCGCGUAGUC
rnacentral:rRNA from 1 species